AUAGCUUAACUUAUCCGUGAAUUAAUAAGUCGUCUUAGCCCCCUUUCAGUUCGGUAAAUUGAGUUCAAAGGCCUUGGUAUCAUCUCAAGUUUUCAUUUCUACUGGUGCUUCAUGUUUAAAAUAGGUGAGACGUAUAGAAUUAGUUCCUUUAUUUCAUCUCUUUCACCUAUGAUCUGAACUGAUUGUGUGAAUAUACGACCUGAUUUGGUUUCAAAUUCUGAUUAUGGCAUUUGAUGCCACUGUUUUGCUAUAUGUGGAUAAGGAUAUGAUUUUGGGAGUCAUUUUUUUGUGUGAGUAUGACUCUGUAAGUAUGUUAAUAUGGGGAUUCAUUUUCGAGUCCAAGUUUGGAAUCUUUGUCCACUGCCUCCAAAUCAAAUUCAUGAAUAUGCGUUGUUGAUAUGCUGGG
rnacentral:lncRNA from 1 species